CGGCUCAGAACGAACGCUGGCGGCAGGCUUAACACAUGCAAGUCGAGCGCCCCGCAAGGGGAGCGGCAGACGGGUGAGUAACGCGUGGGAAUCUACCCUUUUCUACGGAAUAACGCAGGGAAACUUGUGCUAAUACCGUAUGAGCCCUUCGGGGGAAAGAUUUAUCGGGAAAGGAUGAGCCCGCGUUGGAUUAGCUAGUUGGUGGGGUAAAGGCCUACCAAGGCGACGAUCCAUAGCUGGUCUGAGAGGAUGAUCAGCCACAUUGGGACUGAGACACGGCCCAAACUCCUACGGGAGGCAGCAGUGGGGAAUAUUGGACAAUGGGCGCAAGCCUGAUCCAGCCAUGCCGCGUGAGUGAUGAAGGCCCUAGGGUUGUAAAGCUCUUUCACCGGUGAAGAUAAUGACGGUAACCGGAGAAGAAGCCCCGGCUAACUUCGUGCCAGCAGCCGCGGUAAUACGAAGGGGGCUAGCGUUGUUCGGAAUUACUGGGCGUAAAGCGCACGUAGGCGGAUUGUUAAGUGAGGGGUGAAAUCCCAGGGCUCAACCCUGGAACUGCCUUUCAUACUGGCAAUCUAGAGUCCAGAAGAGGUGAGUGGAAUUCCGAGUGUAGAGGUGAAAUUCGUAGAUAUUCGGAGGAACACCAGUGGCGAAGGCGGCUCACUGGUCUGGAACUGACG
rnacentral:rRNA from 1 species